rnacentral:rRNA from 1 species
CAUGCAAGUCGAGGGGCAGCGAGAUUGAAGCUUGCUUCAAUUGUCGGCGACCGGCGGACGGGUGCGUAACGCGUAUGCAACCUACCCAUAACAGGGGGAUAACACUGAGAAAUUGGUACUAAUACCCCAUAACAUCUCGAGUGGCAUCACUUGGGGUUGAAAGCUUCGGUGGUUAUGGAUGGGCAUGCGUUGUAUUAGCUAGUUGGAGAGGUAACGGCUCACCAAGGCGACGAUACAUAGGGGGACUGAGAGGUUAACCCCCCACAAUGGGACUGAGACACGGACCAAACUCCUACGGGAGGCAGCAGUGAGGAAUAUUGGUCAAUGGACGCAAGUCUGAACCAGCCAUGCCGCGUGCAGGAUGACGGCUCUAUGAGUUGUAAACUGCUUUUGUACGAGGGUAAACCCGGAUACGUGUAUCCGGCUGAAAGUAUCGUACGAAUAAGGAUCGGCUAACUCCGUGCCAGCAGCCGCGGUAAUACGGAGGAUUCAAGCGUUAUCCGGAUUUAUUGGGUUUAAAGGGUGCGUAGGCGGUUUGAUAAGUUAGAGGUGAAAUACCGGUGCUUAACACCGGAACUGCCUCUAAUACUGUUGAGCUAGAGAGUAGUUGCGGUAGGCGGAAUGUAUGGUGUAGCGGUGAAAUGCUUAGAGAUCAUACAGAACACCGAUUGCGAAGGCAGCUUACCA